AGAGAUAUCAUCAUUUUUCCUCAGCAAAAACGUCAUGGGAGGUCUGAAAGCUGCUGGUUUUUCAUACUUUGACAUAUACCAAGAAAGACAUGGAAUCAACCUUGAUCGGGGAAAGGAAAAGAUUGUGGACUAAAUUGCAAAAUUUAUUUAUUUUGUAUCGAGUUUUGUCAAGCCAGCUAGGAGAUCAGGAACGGUCGGAGGUGCACUCACACUAUCAACAAACUAUUUCGGUAUAAUGACUUGUAUAUUUUGAGAAUAUGGCAUGUAUAGCAUUAUAAUCACUUUUUGUAUAUAAUCUUAUGAUAUGGCUCAUGGAUGGCAUGGAAAUGUUUGAGAAUGAUUAGCUAUUGGAGUGACUAAUCAAGAUUAUAUUUGAUAACA